UUUAAUGAGAGUUUGAUUCUGGCUCAGGAUUAAUGCUGGUGGUAUGCAUAACACAUGCAAGUCGAACGAAGGUAGCUUGCUACCUUAGUGGCAAACGGGCGAGUAACACAUAUUUAACUUAUCCAUACGAGGAGGAUAGCAUCUCGAAAGAGUUAUUAAUACUCCAUAGGUUUAUAGAAUAAAUUAAAGGGGGCGGGCCGGAGAGUUUCUCCGGUGCCUCGCGAAUGGAGAGGAAUAUGUCCUAUUAGGUUGUUGGCGGGGUAAAUGCCCACCAAGCCGAUGAUGGGUAGCUGGACUGAGAGGUCGACCAGCCGCAAUGGGAUUGAAAUACGGCCCAUAUUCCUACGGGAAGCAGCAGUGAGGAAUUUUUCACAAUGGACGAAAGUCUGAUGGAGCAAUACCAUGUGAACGAUGACGGUCUUCUGAUUGUAAAGUUCUUUUAUUUAGGAUAAAAAGUUUGACAGGAAAUGGUUAAACCGUGAUCGUACUAAAUGAAUAAGUGACAGCUAACUAUGUGCCAGCAGCUGCGGUAAAACAUAGGUCACAAGCAUUAUCCGGAUUUAUUGGGCGUAAAGGAAGCGUAGGCGGACAAGUUGAUCUAUUGUUAAAGGCACUUGCCUAACAGGUUGUUUGUGAUAGAUAUCGCUUGUCUAGAAUUAGUUAGGAGAUACUGGAAUUCAAUGUGUAGCGGUGGAAUGCGUAGAUAUAUUGAGGAACACCAGAGGCUAAGGCGAGUAUCUAGGACAUAAUUGACGCUGAGGCUUGAAAGCGUGGGGAGCAAAUGGGAUUAGAUACCCCAGUAGUCCACGCCGUAAACGAUGGGUAUUAGGUAUUUGAUUCGAAAUUGAGUGCUGUAGCUAACGCGUUAAAUACCCCGCCUGGGUAGUAUAUAUGCAAAUAUGAAACUCAAAGAAAUUGACGGGGACCUGAACAAGUGGUGGAGCAUGUUGCUUAAUUCGAUAAUACACGAAAAACCUUACCGAGGCUUGUAAUCUUUUGCAAAGCUAUAGAAAUAUAGUGGAGGCUAUCAGAAUGACAGGUGGUGCAUGGCUGUCGUCAGCUCGUGUCUUGAGAUGUUUGGUUAAGUCCCGUAACGAGCGCAACCCUACUCUUUAGUUAGAUAGUUCUAAAGUGACUGAAUCGUAAGAUAUAGGAAGGCUGGGGCCAAGUCAAGUCAUCAUGCCCCUUAUGCCUCGGGCUGCAAACGUGCUACAAUGGUAGGUACAAUGUGUCGCAAUCUAGUAAUAGUGAGCUAAUCACCUAAAGCCUAUCUCAGUCCGGAUAAAAGGCUGCAAUUCGCCUAUUUGAAGUUGGAAUCACUAGUAAUCCUGUGUCAGCUAUAUCAGGGUGAAUGCGUUCCCAGGUCUUGUACACACCGCCCGUCAAACUAUGAAAGAAAGUACUAGUUGAAACCGUAUUAAGUUACGUCCAGAUUGGUAAUUUUGAUUGGAGUUAAGUCGUAACAAGGUACCCGUACGAGAACGUGCGGGUGGAAAACUUAUUAA
rfam:Chlorocebus sabaeus isolate 1994-021 unplaced genomic scaffold Scaffold491, whole genome shotgun sequence.